ACCAAAUAAGUCUCGAACACAAGGACUUAAUAAUAUAUAUGAUAUUUAUUAUUAAAUAUAUAUCUAUUAUGAAAUAUUGAUUUUUAAAGAACAUAAAUAGAUAUAUUUUUAUAUAUGGAACAUAAGACUUAAAUCUAUAAUUGAUUAUUAACAUAUAAUUAGUAUAUUAAUUAACAAUCAAAAUAAAAAAAAUUAAGAUGUCAAUGACUCUUUUAACGUGCUAUCAAAUAAUAUUGUAUUUUGAGAUCGAGUGUUAGGAGGGGAUGGUGAAUGGAACCCCCUCAACUAAUAAUGGGAACA
rnacentral:lncRNA from 1 species